rnacentral:rRNA from 1 species
UACGUAGGGUGCGAGCGUUAAUCGGAAUACUGGGCGUAAAGCGUGCGCAGGCGGUUCGUUAUGUCCGAUGUGAAAGCCCCGAGCUCAACUUGGGAAUGGCAUUGGAAACUGGCGGGCUGGAGUGUGGCAGAGGGGGGUGGAAUUCCCGGUGUAGCGGUGGGAAUGCGUAGAGAUCCGGAAGAACACCGGUGGCGAAGGCGGGUCUCUGGGCCGAUACUGACGCUGAGGAGCGAAAGCGUGGGGAGCGAACAGG